rnacentral:rRNA from 1 species
UGCCAGCCGCCGCGGUAAUACGGAGGGUGCAAGCGUUGUCCGGAUUUAUUGGGUUUAAAGGGUGCGUAGGCGGAUGAUUAAGUCAGUGGUGAAAGCCCACAGCUCAACUGUGGAACUGCCAUUGAUACUGGUUAUCUUGAGUAUAGAUGAGGCAGGCGGAAUUUACGAUGUAGCGGUGAAAUGCAUAGAUAUCGUAAAGAACACCUAUAGCGAAGGCAGCUUGCUAAACUAUAACUGACGCUGAGGCACGAAAGCAUGGGGAGCGAACAGGAUUAGAUACCCUAGUAGUCC